GCACGAACAGGUUUGUCGGUAUUCUGCCGAUGUUUGUGACUAGCUGGUGGACAAAAGCAACGUCUGGUAAACCCUCUACACGGACAAUCCUGGAGACGGACUUUCCCGAAUCGGAUCAGAAGUUUCUCGUGGGCUGCGCGCUCAACAACACGCCCGCUCCCCACCAGUCCAAGGAAGACGGAGAAAGUGACUCCUACGUCGUUACAUACACAACUUGUGUUUUGGUUACUGUAAAGUCCAGCGGUUCUGCUUCCUUUGCAUCACCCAGUAUUCAAAUAUUGGCUGCAGUUUCCGGAGCGGCCACAAUGACAGGUUUCGCUGUUGGUUCCUUGUAGGAAGUAUGGUGAUCCGUUCCUCUCGAGAGUUCAGCGCUUCCAAGUGUUCCCUCACGCUAUUUUCAUUUUGCUGCGGCUGGCCAUUCUUCCUUUAAUAACACAUUUCAGACAUCGCUCGGCAUCGAUUUGCCGUCAUGCCCCGAGUGUUCGUGUCUUCUUGUCAAUAUAGUUCGGAGACGUGUAGACAUCGGCAUGCUUAAAGGUGGUGAGCGGCAUAUCUGCCAGUGCGAGGUACACGCACACAGAAACAUCCAUGUUUUCUUCCAUUGGGAUGGAUGUGACAAUUGUGCGUCAUAAAACAACUGGCGAUAGGUGAUACCAUGAGCGUACUUGUCAAUUCUCUUGACCCAUCUGGACCAGAGAAUGCCGUCUCGUCUUUCUUCGGGGAUAUACCAUUUAUGAGUGUUAUGCAAGAAUGAGGCUCGGUUUUCGAACACGAAGCAAUAUAUCCGUGUUCGUUAAUCGACUGCAACAGACCUGAGACCAUAACCUCACUAGGGUGCUUGCAACCUGCUGCGAAAGGCUGAACUCCCUCUCAGUAGCUAAAAUACAACUUACUGUCGCCGGAGCUGGCCGUCGCAAUUUUGCUCACUACGCAUGAAGUCGAACAAGAUCGGGCAGCACGGGAACAUUAAUGAAUAAACGGUAGCAGAGACGUCGAAUCAAAAGUCGCGACGAUCAGACUACAGCUAUAGC
rnacentral:lncRNA from 1 species